UAGUGCACUAUGAAGGGAAUAGAGUGCCAUUUGGGAUGCAUACCUACUGUAUGUACUGUAUGUGAGUAGGGAGUAACUGGAACAUGUUGGCCGAAUACUGACUGACUGGCUGGCAGACUAGUUUACUGACUGACCGCAGACUGGUUUACUGACUGACUGGCUGCUUUACUGACUGACUGCAGACUGGUUUACUGACUGACUGGCUGCUUUACUGACUGACUGCAGACUAGUUUACUGACUGACCGGCUGGCAGACUAGUUUACUGACUGACCGGCUGGCAGACUAGUUUACUGACUGACUGGCUGGUUUACUGACUGACUGGCUUACUGACUGACUGGCUGGUUUACUGACUGACCGGCUGGCAGACUAGUUUACUGACUGACUGGCUGGCAGACUAGUUUACUGACUGACUGGCUGGCAGAUUAGUUGACUGACUGACCGGCUAGCAGACUGGUUUACUGACUGACUGGCUGGCAGACUAGUUUACUGACUGACUGGUAAACUGGUUUACUGACUGACCGCAGACUAGUUUACUGACUGACCGGCUGGCAGACUAGUUUACUGACUGACCGGCUGGCAGAUUAGUUUAUUGACUGACUGGCUGGUAGACUAGUUUACUGACUGACCGGCUGGCAGACUAGUUUACUGACUGACUGGCUGGUUUACUGACUGACUGGCUUACUGACUGACUGACUGGCUGGUAGACUCAUUUACUGACUGACUGGUUUACUGACUGACUGGCUGGCAGACUGGUUUACUGACUGACUGGCUGGUAGACUGGUUUACUGACUGACUGGCCGGUUUACUGACUGACUGGCUGGUUUACUGACUGACUGGUUUACUGACUGACUGACUGGCUGGUUUGCUGACUGACUGGCUGGUUUACUGACUGACUGGUUUACUGUUUUUUUUACUGACUGACUAACUGAUUGGCUGACUGGUUUACUGACUGGCUGGUUUACUGACUGACUGGCUGGUUUACUGACUGACUGGCUGGCUAACUGACUGGCUGGCUAACUGGUUUACUGACUGACUGGCUGACUGGUUUACUGACUGACUGGCUGGCUAACUGGUUUACUGACUGACUGGCUGGUUUACUGACUGACUGGUUUACUGACUGACUGACUGGCUGGUUUGCUGACUGACUGGCUGGUUUACUGACUGACUGGUUUACUGUUUUUUUUACUGACUGACUAACUGAUUGGCUGACUGGUUUACUGACUGGCUGGUUUACUGACUGACUGGCUGGCUAACUGGUUUACUGACUGGCUGGUUUACUGACUGACUGGCUGGCUAACUGGUUUACUGACUGACUGGCUGACUGGUUUACUGACUGACUGGCUGGCUGGCUAACUGGUUUACUGACUGGCUGGCUGGUUUACUGACUGACUGGCUGGCAGGCUAACUGGUUUACUGACUGACUAGGUGACAGACUGACUGGCUGGCUGCCUGGUUUACUGAUUGACUGGCUAACUGACAGGCUGGCUGGCUAACUGGUUGACUGACUGGCUGACCUAGUGACGUCAUGGGUGUUCUCUUCAGUAAAACUCCCUCUGUUCCUCCAUGUUAGAAAUACAAAACUCUCCUUCUGUCCAGAGCUUCUAGAGCCAGACGGACGGACACUAGCUAGAAGAUCACAGAACCUUGACGUGUGAUCCCUUGUGUUAGCCAUGUUGUUAAAUGAGCACAGCACACUGUUAGGAAACAAGACUCAAGACUUAAUGAACGGUGAUCCUUAAAUGUGAGUUAUUCCGGCAUUAGGAUUGUAAAUGUCUUGUAGUGUAUCCAUGGCUUGAGUGCAAUAUGAGCUGUAGUUGAACACAGACACGUUGGUUCUGAGUUCUUCUCUGGUGAACUGCAGCAUCUGAAGGUCAAAGUGGCGAGGGCGAGGUGCUCUGAAACACUCCGGAUAUAAACAUUUAUUCUGGUCCUGCAGAACACUGGACUAGAAUCAGUCAUGUAUAUUCUAGUAAUCAACAGAGUUCUAGAACAUUCCUGUUGACCCUGUCAGUUCUAGAACAUUCCGGUUGACCCUGUCAGUUCUAGAACAUUCCUGUUGACCCUGUCAGUUCUAGAACAUUCCGGUUGACCCUGUCAGUUCUAGAACAUUCCUGUUGACCCUGUCAGUUCUAGAACAUUCCUGUUGACCCUGUCAGUUCUAGAACAUGAACACGACGACAGUCAGAUAGAUACACUGACAGUAUCCCGGUCUGGUCACACUGUCACACUACACUACCCAGAGUUCCACAGCAGGUUUAGUCACAUGGUAGUCAUGUUAUUGCCUUGCUAUUGGCUGGUGUUAUACACUGUUACUAUGGUUACUAUAAGAGAGACAGAGCUAGUGAUGUUAACAGAACUACAGUAGGCCUGUGAAAUGGUUGGUGUGUGUGUCCGGGGGGACUGAGGUGACCAUUGUGACACUGAGUUCAAACACAGGCCACACAACAUACAUUGUUCUGUUCUGACGAAAGAGAGAGAGAGAGAGAGAGAGAGAGAGAGAGGGUUUGGCUUCUCUCCUCUCUUUGUGUUGUAGUGUCUCUCUAGACCAGGUUGUAGUGUCUCUGUGUUGUCUCUCUAGUCCAGGUUGUAGUGUCUCUGUAGUGUCUCUAGACCAGGUUGUAGUGUCUCUGUGGUGUCUCUCUAGACUAGGUUGUAGCGCCUCUCUAGACCAGAUUAUAGUGUCUCUAGACCAGGUUGUAGUGUCUCUAGACCAGGUUGUAGUGUCUCUAGACCAGGUUGUAGUGUCUCUGUAGUGUCUCUCUAGACCAGGUUGUAGUGUCUCUGUAGUGUCUCUCUAGACCAGGUUGUAGUGUCUCUCUAGACCAGGUUGUAGUGUCUCUCUAGACCAGGUUGUAGUGUCUCUGUAGUGUCUCUCUAGACCAGGUUGUAGUGUCUCUAUAGACCAGGUUGUAGUGUCUCUAGACCAGGUUGUAGCGUCUCUAGACCAGGUUGUAGUCUCUAUAGACCAGGUUGUAGUGUCUCUAUAGACCAGGUUGUAGUGUCUCUAGACCAGGUUGUAGCGUCUCUAGACCAGGUUGUAGUCUCUAUAGACCAGGUUGUAGUGUCUCUGUAGUGUCUCUAUAGACCAGGUUGUAGUGUCUCUAGACCAGGUUGUAGCGUCUCUAGACCAGGUUGUAGUGUCUCUCUAGACCAGGUUGUAGUGUCUCUGUAGUGUCUCUCUAGACCAGGUUGUAGUGUCUCUGUAGUGUCUCUCUAGACCAGGUUGUAAAGUAACGGGUAUUUAUCUCCAGGAUAACUGAAAAAAUGAACAACACUACGACCAGGUUAGAUUAACAACACUACGACCAGGUUAGAUUACAACACUACGACCAGGUUAGAUUAACAACACUACGACCAGGUUAGAUUAACAACACUACGACCAGGUUAGAUUAACAACACUACGACCAGGUUAUAUUAACAACACUACGGCCAGGUUAUAUUAACAACACUACGACCAGGUCAGAUUAACGACCAAGUUAUAUUAACAACACUACGACCAGGUUAUAUUGACAACACUACGGCCAGGUUAUAUUAACAACACUACGACCAGGUCAGAUUAACGACCAGGUUAGAUUAACAACACUACGACCAGGUUAGAUUAACAACACUACGACCAGGUUAUAUUGACAACACCACGGCCAGGUUAGAUUAACAACACUACAACCAGGUUAGAUUAACAACACUACGACCAGGUUAGAUUAACAACACUACGACCAGGUUAGAUUAAAAACACUAUGACCAGGUUAUAUUGACAACACCACGGCCAGGUUAUAUUAACAACACUACGACCAGGUCAGAUUAACGACCAGGUUAGAUUAACAACACCACGGCCAGAUUAUAUUGACAACACUACGACCAGGUUAGAUUAACAACACUACGACCAGGUCAGAUUAACGACCAGGUUAGAUUAACAACACUACGACCAGGUUAUAUUAACAACACUACGACCAGGUUAGAUUAACAACACUAUGACCAGGUUAGAUUAACAACACCACGGCCAGGUUAUAUUGACAACACCACGGCCAGGUUAGAUUAACAACACUACGACCAGGUUAUAUUGACAACACCACAGCCAGGCUAGAUUAACAACACUACAACCAGGUUAGAUUAGCAACACUACGACCAGGUUAGAUUAACAACACUACGACCAGGUUAUAUUAACAACACUACGACCAGGUUAGAUUAACAACACUACGACCAGGUUAUAUUGACAACACCACGGCCAGGUUAGAUUAACAACACUACGACCAGGCACACACAGUCUCAAAUGGAACCCUUUUCCACAGCUCCCUAUGUGGGACCUGGCCAAAAGUAGUGCACUACGUAGGGGAUAGAGUACCAUUUGGGUCAGACACAAAAUAAUCUGCCUCUGUGCCAAACCCAUCCACAGAACCAGUGAACCAUCUUGACUGUAUCUCCUGUAGCUCAGGACAGGAGCUUCAUGUUGGGCCCUCCUGGGUCUGAUCCACACAUCAGAGCUAUGUUCAGGAUCCCCAGUGUUAUGGAACAUUAC
ensembl:lncRNA